UUGCGUAGGUGGUGGUUUAAGUCUGUUGUGAAAGCCCUGGGCUCAACCUGGGAACUGCAGUGGAAACUGGACAACUAGAGUGUGGUAGAGGGUAGCGGAAUUCCCGGUGUAGCAGUGAAAUGCGUAGAGAUCGGGAGGAACAUCCAUGGCGAAGGCAGCUACCUGGACCAACACUGACACUGAGGCACGAAAGCGUGGGGAGCAAACAGGAUUAGAUACCCUGGUAGUCCACGCCCUAAACGAUGCGAACUGGAA
rnacentral:rRNA from 1 species